rnacentral:lncRNA from 1 species
UUGGUUAAAAGCAGUGGAGUACUACUACCGUUACUUUGACGUCAUCAGAGAAUAUUUAAACAGCCUCGAUGAAGAUUUGGCAGCAACCAGAAGAGCACAAGAAGUAAUUAAUAAUGAUUCCUUAACAGAAGAAGCCGUAUUUAUACAGGAAAAAUAGCCAUCUACCAUAGUAAUCUAACCAUAGUAGAAAAUCUGACUCAAGAUUUGAAGGAAGAGCCAUUCAAGACCAAGUUAAAAGAAGUGCUUCAAAAGAAUCCUGGCUACACAAAACUAAAUGAACUCUCAGCUAGGUAAAACCUUGUAGACAAAAAUACUCCAAUUAUCAAUUGUGAUGCCGAGAGAGUCGUUAGUAUGACGAAUAUCAUCAAUACGAAAAGGAGGUCCAAACUAAGUGCUUAGAAAUUGAGGGAAUUAUUGAUCACCAAAUGGAAUGAAUGUUUUGUUAUCAUUUAAUUGUCAACGCAUUUCGUGCCAAAGUUAUCUAUUCAUACUUUGGUGGUCACUAAGAAGUUAUAAGUACACUUCCUGUAAUGAUGGGUUUGAUGUUCUCUAACUAACAAUAUAUUUUGUCUUGCAUAAAUUUACAGAAUAUAAUAUACAUUUAUAAAGU